UAGGACUAUGGUUUGGAUUU
rnacentral:miRNA from 1 species